CUGGAACUAAGGGGCCAAGCCCAACCCCUGAAAAACACCACCUGAAUUCAGUGAUUUGGAGGGGUGUCCCAAAACUUUUUGCAAUAUAGUGUAUGUGGUAAAUUUUAAAUACAAAUGCUCUCACUCUAGAAAGUCUAAUUGUGCUUGUCAAGAAAACUGAUUUGUUGUCAAGUUGAAUACUAGUUGCCCUAAACACUGUUAAACGUUGUUACUAUGGCAACCAGUAGUAGGACUACUUACUGGCAACUUCAUUUUGAAGAGACUGAAAGUAGCUGGGCGGUGAGGUCUUCAUGGAUUGGACUUGAUUGUCCCACAAAUGCUCAAUCAGAUGCAGAUCUGUGGAAUUUGAAGUUCAAGUCAACACCUUUCGCAUCCUGGUGCCAUUUCUUGGUCAGAAGAGCUCACCAUUGCAGCGGUACUUCAAGUUGGACCAUAUGAUGUUCUCCUGAGAGAAACAGAACACACCCAGCCUGCCUCCCCUCAUUGUUGUGUCGAUUGUCACACCAGAGUCUGCAACCAGCUCUGUGCCUUCAUAGAAGCGCACCCUACCCACACACACACACACAAACAGUCAUUACACACAUCAUUGUACACAUCCUUGUACAUUUAAAAUAGUAGAGGUCAUGUGGGUGUAUGUUCAACAUCGGUAAAUGAGGUCUGUUUGUUUCUUCUAUUUUUGCAGCAGUUUUUAAAAGCUGAAGAGUGCUGCAGGGGUGGAACUUCUGAAGAGCCACUUCUAAAACAAACAACUGCGGUGACAAACCCAGGUACCAGCGGUAUGACACUUUGUCCUUCCAGCCGACAUUACGUGGGUCUUUCCAGAGCAAACGCACCUGAUCGUUAGUGUCUCCUGUAUGCCAGAGGGAGUUUCUCAAAUGCUCACCAGGACCAGUCUUAGACUUUACUGCCUAAGAGAGACAGAGACUUCAAGCCAGAACUAAGAGUUGAUGAAUUGAUAACUGCAUGGCAUCCAACAAGGAAAACCCAUCAUCCAUCAAGACAUCCAUCCAAUUGGGGAGGACACAGAAGUAUUUGGAGGAAACCCCUGAAGCACAGGAAGAACUUGCAAACUGCACACACACAUGCAGGGUGGAGGCAGGAAUCUAACCCCCAAACAUGGAGGAACACCGGCAAACAUGAAGCCUACCUAGGUCAUAGAGUAUAUAGGUCAGUAGAGUAUGGCCGUCAUGCGCUAUAUGAGGGGAUAGUGUCCUGGUGGAUCUCCUGUCAGACUUGGAUCAGAGCAGGGCAGUCUGUGGUGCUAAUUAGCAGAUAAUUUGGAUACUGUGAUUCAUAAUGUCCCAGACAUUCUCAAUUCAAUUCAGGUCUGGGGAUCAUUUAUGGCCCUGUCCAGCUCUCCUCACCAAACCUCCUUCUGACAUCACAUAUGUAUAUGCUGUCCUAGAGGAGCUGGACUGCUUGUGCAACCUAAUUGGGUACUGCAACCUUAAGUUGUUUUUUUUUAAACUAACCAAACAAUGAAUUAAAAGAGGUUUCCUUUUGCUUAGGAUCAUUAACAGUAAUUUAUUAAUCAGCUGUAAGGGUCCUCACAAGGUUUUUUGUGUUUGUGUGUGCAUUUGUGUGUGUGUGUGUGUGUGUGUGUGUGUGCGUGUCUGUGUGUGUGUUUGUGCAUGCAGUUGCUCACCAUCUCCAUCCAUGUCAUCGUCACAUGCAUCCCCACGGCCGUCUGAAUCAGUGUCCCGUUGGUCUGGAUUCUCAAUUGUAAGGCAGUUAUCGCAUGCAUCACCAUGGCUAUCCUUGUCACUGUUUAUCUGAUUCACAUUUGGCUUCAACCAGCAAUUGUCCUAGAGUGCACGUGAACACACACACACACACACACACACAUAUGUUGUCAUAACUCACAGAGGGUCAGACAUCUUUAUGAGCCAAAGAACUAAAAGUUAUAAACUUAAGAACAAGCUGUACUACCACCUGUUGAUAUUCUCAGAUGGUCUCUUGGUUCAAAAUUCUUGCUGAAAUCAACAUAGGAUUCAUGCUCAUCUACAAUAAAACAAAUGUUUAUAUAUGUGUGUGUGUACCUGCUCGUUCAGUAUUCCAUCUCCAUCUGCAUCUGGGUCACAGGCAUCACCUUGUCCAUCUGAAUCAGCAUCUUCCUGUCCUGAAUUUGGCACCAUAAUACAGUUGUCCUGAAACACACAGACACACACACAGACACACAAACACACACACACACAGUUAACACAUUGACAUUAUCACAAGUCUACCAUGGUUAUGUAAUAUCAUAGGCAUUUUUUUUUUUUUUUUACCUUUUUGCAGGUGGGAUCCCGGCAGCGAAGCUUCUCAUCUGGGUAUCCGUCAAUGUCAGUAUCCUUUCCACAUAGAUAACCGUUUCCUGCCCAGCCGAUACCACACUGGAACACACACACACACACACACACACAAAUAUGAAAAAAACAAAUAGAUUUACAACCAGAUUCAAGUCAUGAUAUAGUAUGAAUGAAGAAGGUUGUGUGAUCUGACAGAUGAUGAUGUAGUCUAUUUCAUCACUACCACUUUGUGUCUGUGUGUACCAUAGUAUGUAUGUGUUAGUUAUUUAGUUACCUGGCAGGUGAUAGUGCCAUCUCGUUCCUCAAUACAUUGCGCAUUUGGAUCACAGGGAUUCUGCAGCCGAUUCCCACAACUCUUCUCUGGUUUACAGCCUCUCACUUGGUCACCGGUGAAUCCUGUUUUACAGCCACCACAGCGAUAUGAGCCCUACACACAUAAACACAUAAACAAACAACUUGGGUUGUAUUAUACAUGUGAAAAUGUGUAUAGCCACAUCUCAUAUAUUACACUAACAAAAACAAAAGGUUUUGGCCUAAGUUCAAUGUACUAAUAAAAAGUGCGUGUGAUGAAAGAACUCGAGUCCAAAAAGUUACAACAGGGAAGAAGAGCAGAUGUUACCAUAGAGUUCAGGCAGAUCGAGUUGGCUGUGCAGCCUCCAUUAUUUGGCCCGCUGCAUUCAUCAAUGUCAUCACACACCUGUGGUUAAAAUAUGGGUUGCAUGAAGCAAUAAAUACAGUCAUAUCAAAUAUACAAACACAUUUACAACACAAACAUGUGAUUGCACAAACACAUACGACAUAGUUAUAAAAGCAAUAUCUUUAUUUGUAGACUGCUCUAUUACUGAAUCUGUAUUUGGAUUUACAUACCAUUCAAAGUGGAAGUACAGCAUUUCAACCUUUUAAUUUAGCGUGUCAGUGUCAAAUCUUGAUAUAUACAGUAUAACUCACACAAAAGUAGAGACGUGCUCCCAACCAUGACGUGAACAGCCAUUUUAAUUCGAUUCAGUUGUAUUCCACAUGCUGAACUCAGGGUUGAGAUAUUCCCAACUUUCAGAGCAAGAAUUCAGUGAGAGUGUUUUUCUUGUCAAUUUCAAGAUACAAGUUACAAGAUACAAGUCAUUUGGCAGACAACCUUGUCCAGCAGUGAUGGUUUGGGUGACUUACAGAAGUGGUUUGUCUCAGUCAAUGAAGGUCACAGACAAAGAAUACCAUCAGAUUAAAAAGCACAAUCUGAUGCACAGGAAAAGCACAACUAACGUCACAAUUUUUAAAAAAUGUGCAAGUUUAAAUACUAGGAAGAGGUAGGACUUUAGAUGUCAUUAGAUGACAUCAGACAGCCAGUGACACAGCUGUUAAGACAUCUAGGGAAAGAGUCUUGAGUCUCGAUGCAUAGUCACUGCUGGACUUGAUAACACAACAUUAAUCCUGAAAUAGGUUUAAAAUCGAGCUUUUUUAUAUUUUUCUAAUGAAUUACUCAAAUUUCUAAAAUAUAAACAAACCGCCAUGAUCCUUAUCAUAUAAGGGCUGCUGCAUGUUAAUAACCAUGGUCUUUUUUAUUUGUGCUUUGUGUCUGAAAGCUUGCUUUGCUCCCACAAGAAAGUAAAAAAUGUGGAACUUUUUAUCCCACAGAUACUAGUCCCAAUGCACAGCUUUAGUCUCAACUAAAGCCCUCUGAGCAUUUGUGGCACGCUUCUUGAAAACAAAUAGUGCACCUCCUACUUAUAUUUGUAAUUGUAUCCAUUUAAAACACAUUACCUGUUCAAUCCUAAUAACAUAUUCAUGUAUGGUUACAUCUCUAAUAUACCCACACUAACCUGUUUGUGUGUCUGUGCAAAAGCUGCACCCACACCUUCCACUGGUUGGCCGGUGUAUCCCCUAGGACAUGCCUCACAACGGAACCCUGGAGCGGUGUUUACACAUUUCACACCCGGGAAACAGGGGUUAAACUGACACUGUAAAACACGCACACACACACACACACAAGGGUUCAAAUACAGAGAUUGUUCAUAAGGAAAUACUAACUGGGAGAACAAAUGAGAACUGAUAUUUCUAAGAUGAUAAAUAUUGGAUGAUUUUUAUAAAAUGAGUUUAUAGCCCUAGAGUGUUCUGUGACCUAUUAACUUGGUUAAUAUUGUGAAAAUCGGUCAUGGAUAAUUGUCAUGUCCAUAUUUGGUGGAACAAUUUGUCAUAUUUUAGUAAUUACUGAAGUGUUACCUCAUCAACAUCAUCACAGCUGUAGCCGUCUCCGGUGUAUCCGUCAGGACAAGGGCCACACUCUACCCCAUCCACCGUCUCGAUACACAUGUCAGGACGGAAACACACACCAGGAGCACACUGCUGUUUCACUGUUGUACCAGCCAGAUCUGCAAGACAAGCACCCAGAUGUGCACAUUUAUUGAGGAUAAUCCCUCGUUAAUAAAUAGGUAUGACUUUGCAAUA